GAUGUGUGUAUAUAUAUAUAUAUAUAUCCUCCCCUCGGCUAUAUUUUUUCGAAGAUGAAUCACACGGGAGAGAUACGUGCUGCUUCAUGCGCUCCACACAUAUGUAUAUAUAUAUAUACACACAUACGUAUGUACGUCAUAUAUAAUAACGUGACUAUCGAACGUAAAAAUUUUAUCUUUUUCUUUUUUCUCUCUUUUUUUUCCUUGUCAGAAAAAUUACAUAGGAUAAACAAGGAGAAAAAUGUUCGCGCGUUUAGCUUUGCUGCGUCGCGUUCGUUGCGUUAGUCUCGUCGUCCGUCUCUUCUCCUAUCUCUUGGUUAUACAUAUACAUAUUUUAAUUUUCUAAUUCAAUAAAAUCUCGCUUCCGCCGGUCCUCCCCCGAGAGCCGCGAUCCUACUCGCGCGCGUUCGUAUUCGUUCGGAAGUAAUCGUCGACGCCGUCGUCGCUCGGUAGUCCCUCUACCUCCCCACCCCUCCGUAUCGUGCUUCGCGUCGACUCGGCUCGAUUCGGCUCCAUUCGGUAAAUCUCGGGCGCACGGUCUCGGUCUCGUCGAGCACGAACCAACGAGUCGCUUUUCGAUUCAGUUCUCGUUCGUCCGCACGCCUGUUCGCGUCAUGUCGUGAACUGGGAGAGUAUUUUAUCUCUCUCUCUUUCUCUCUCUUUCUCUCUAUUCUUCCAAGUGAGAGGCGUUUGUGGUCUGCUCUAAAGUAAGAUAAACCGAUAUAAGUGCGCAACGAGAUAAGCCGACUAGGGCCGACCGACCGACCGACUACUGACCGAUUAAUUAAACGAAUUCGAAGAACGAGCAAUAAUCGUCGACCGCAGCUACCAACGAGGAGAAGAGAUCGUCCUCCGAAUUUUGCAAUUUUUCCUAUUUAGUUAGGAACGAGAGAGAAGAAUGUAACCUCAGAACUCGAGAAGAAGUAGAAGAGAAAAAAAAGAUGAAGAAGAAAAAGAAGACAACUUGAACCGACCGACAUGGACCUGAAGGUUACAGUUACGGAUCAGUCAGGCCAUGACCAUAGUUGAAGAAUCGGAGGAAUACCAUCGAGUACUUGGAAGUCGGUCUUUUGUGCGAACACGUGCGAACCAUCGUCAGACUUAUAUAUUUUCCUUCCUCUUUCUUUUUUCUUUUCCUUCUCUUUCCUUCUCUUUUUUUUUGUUCAUUCUAUCUAUUUAUCUAUCUAUCUAUCUAUCUAUCUAUCUAUCUAUCUAUUUUUUUCGAAUUCUUUCCUUUCCCUUGAUCUCAACCUGAAUUUUCAACAUGAACCGGAAUCCCUCUCACGGAAUAAACGUAAAGUCCUGAGAACACCGACUUCACCGGGAUUCGUUCGUCUCGUAAAUCGUAAGGCUGUCUCUAGCUGUAGUAAUUCCUAGAAAGAGAAAAAGAGAACUGGAUGGAGAGGGUGGUGGUGGUGGUGGCAAUGGCGAUGGUGUUGAUAUUGGUGAUGGUGAUAGUAGAUAGUAGUAGUAGAGUAGUAGUAGUAGUUGGAGUUUUAGCGAGACAAACGUACCUGAGAAUUCUUCUUAAGACGGUUCGCACUUUACGGGCAUGCUCGUCUCACUCUUUGCUCGGUAAUGGAGAAUUCCCGUCCUUCUUUACACUCCCUUGCUCUCUCUCUCUCUGUUUAUCUCUCUCUCUUUUUUCUCUUUUCCUCCGUUGGAGGAAUUAAUUUGGUGCUAACGCCAGGACCAACCCCUUGCUCCUUUUGCUCUGAUAUCGUUCUCUCUCUCUCUCUCUCUCUCUCUCUCUCUCUCUCUCUCUCUCUCUCUCUCUCUCUCUCGCUCAUUUCAUAGUCGAGGCGUUGGUAACAACUCCGACGAGCUUUCGUUUGACUUUUUACCUCACUGAGAUGUUUUAACUCAACGCAGAGAGAAAGAAAGAGAGAGAGAGAGAGACCCUCUUUUUCUUCUUCUUUUUCCUCCUUCUUCUAACUCAACGAAAUUGUCUUAUAAAUUUUUCUCUCAUUUCUCUCUCUCUCUCUUUCUCUCUCUCUCUUUCUUCAACGAGAGGAAACCUCUUUCCUCUACGAAUAAAGACUCUGCCAACUUUCUUCUUCUUCUUCUUCUUCUUCUUCGUCAUAUUUUAGUUUGGGGAAAAAGGAUCGAUGCGAUGUCCGUAAGUACAUACGUACUUACGUCUUCUUUUCAAAGAAAUUAUAUAGAUUUCGUUUUACACACACACACACACAGCGUAUUUAAUUUUAUUACGUUUCGUAAGUUAAAUUUCAUCUACGAUGCUGAUUAAAAUAUUCGUAUGGCUCUUUUCUUUUUAGAAAAAAAAAAUCAUCUACAUACAUACAUAUAUACAUACAUACAUACAUCUAUAUAUAUAUUAUGUAUAUAUACGUAGAGUUAGUACCCUUGGUUCUUGGUUUACAGCUCUCCAGGUUUCCUCUCGAUGGUCAGGACAAGAAAUAGAGUGGAAUUGUAUGAUGUGUGUGUGUGUGUAUGUGGAAGGGAGUGGAGGACAAACGGAGGGUAAGAAUAAAUGUAAGGAAUAGAAGGAAGACGAGAACGACGAGGGUCCUGCGAAAUUCUUACGACACGGGGCCGGUCGCCCUUUCUUCUCCCCUAUUCCUCCAUUCUUUCUCUUACUCUGCAUCUAAAAUUCUGCACCGUUCUUCUUCUUCUUGUUCUUCUUCUUCAUAAUCAUCAUCAUCAUCAUCAUCAUCAUCAUUUCUCUCUCUCUCUCUCUUUUUAUUCGCGUCCUUUCGUGUUUGCGUUCUACUCUUUUCCUUUCCCUUCCCUCCUCUUAUGUUUCCUAGAGAACACGAGAGAGAGAGAGAGAGAGAGAGAGAGAGAGAGAGAGAGAGAGAGAGAGAGAGAGAGAGAGAGAGAGAGAGAGAAAGAGAGAACGGUAAAAAAAGAUAGGUUAGGAAGCGUAAGCUCGUACGAGAAGAAAGAUGAAAGAAAAAAGAAAGAGAAAAAAGAGCAAGAGAUAGGGAGAGAGAGGUGGAAUGUAAUAGAAAGAAAGAGAAAGAGAGAGAGAAAGAAAGAAAGAAAGAAAGAGUGACCGUUAGGGAAAAAAGGACUAUAAUAAUAAUAGAAUGAAGACGUGUAGUAAGACGAGUUCAAAGAUGGCGCGUAGAGGGCACGCGCGUCGCGGUAGACGACGAAGGAGAGCAGUGGUGGGGUGAUGUUGGUGGCGAUGAUGAUGGUGAUGCUUUGGUGGGGAGGAUAGAAGCUGACCCCCCACCAAGUAGCAGCACACAGCAGUGCUUGAAGCCGGGCGAAGGCGAACGAGCGAGUCAGUCGCGCGCCGUACCUCGUCCGUGUAACUUCGUUUCGUUUCGUGUUUUCUCGGAUAUUAUUUCUCUCUCUCUCUCUCUCUCUCUCUCUCUCCGUCUCUUUAUCUAUCUCUUUCUCUCUGUUGUGUAUAUAUCCUAUGAUCCUUUCGAUCGCGUCCGGUGUGUUGUAUCUUCGCGUUAUAAAAUUCCGCUCUCUUUCUGUGCGUUUUUGUUCUUCUUGUGCGAUCGACCGUAACAAAAAGAAAUCUUCGAGAAAAUAAUAUUUUUACCUUAGCAGCAAGCAAGCGAUCAUCAGCAGCUUUCUCUACUUAUAUUAUUUCCGUUGAAAAUAAUAGACACGAUUUUUUUCUUCCUCUCUUUCUCUCUAUUUUUCUCUCUUUUUUUUUUUUAUUGUGCGUGUGCGUGCGCGUGUAUGUGUGUGUGUGUGUACGUGCGUGUGCUUACGUAAUUCUCCCGAUAAGAGUAUCUCUACAUCGAAUUAGACGCUUUCCUUGGUUACAAUCGAUUAAUCGAUUAUUUUGUUCGGUAAGAGUUUGAAGAAGAGUCACGAUCAUUUUCGCGGGCUUUUUUCUCCUUUUUAUUUUUUUCUUCCUUCUCUCUCUUUCUUCCUUUCUUUCUUUCUUUUUUUUUCUUAUAUUACGUUGUGUAAUCAUUGUCGCGAGAGAGGAGAUAACAAGAAAGAGAGAGUUGUAUUGUAAGGAUAAUUUUUCUUCGAUAUAAUAUCGUCGUUUGGUUUUGUAAAAAAAAUGUAUUGGAAGAAUUAGAGAGAAACGAAGAGAGGAGAGAAAGAGAGAGAGAGAGAGAGAGAGAGAGACAGAAAUAUGGUCGUCAUUGGUACAUCUUGUCGCGUAUUUUCGGCGACUGAGAUCGAUCGACGCCGGCUUCUCUCUCUCUCUCUCUCCCCCUCUUUUUCUCACUUAUUUUCUUCAUCUCUUAUUUUCCAUCUUUCUCCAUCUACUUUCGUAUUCGCGCGCGUACUCACCAUGUGACUGAAAAGUUUCCCCGUAAAGGAAGAUCUGAAAAUGUUCUCUCUCUCUCUCUCUCUCUCUCUCUCACACACAUACACAUUUUCAAUCGUCUUCUUUCUUCUUCUUCGAGCUUCGCGAAUUUGGAUUACUGGCGCGGGGAGAAUAAAUUUGCAUAAUUAUUCCGUUCGCUAUUGGACGGAUGGACGUUUCUCCUCCUCCUUUUCCUUCUCCUUCUCUUUCUUCUCCUCUUCUUCCUCUUACUCGUCAUCUUCUUCUUCUUCUUCUUCUUCGUCGUCGUCGUCGUCGUCGUAAUCGCCGUCAGAUUUUUCUUACAAAUCUAUGUCUCGAGUAUAUAUAUUUUCUGUUAGUUGGUAAACGUGUGCAAUAUUCUUCUAGAACGAGAUUGGAACAUAUCACUUUCAAUGUUGAGAGAGAUUUCUUACUGCGCGAAGCCGAUAAAGGAAAUAUAUAUAUAUAUAUAUAUAUACACACACGGAAUAUACGUAGAUAAUAUACUUUUGAAGGAUCGUAAAGUUUAAAAAAGAACAAAAAGAACGAACGAAGAAGAAGAAGAAGAAUACGGUGUGAGAUACGAGAAACGAGUGAGGGGAGAAAAAAUCAUUUUUGUCGACAAACUAACGAAGCUCUUCUUACAGAAUAAGCACGUUUCUCUCUCUCUCUCUCUCUCUCUCUCUCUCUCUCUGUCUAUUUAUCUAUCUCUGUCUCUCUUUCAUGGAAGAAGAGAGCUUUUUCUAAGAAGAAAGUCGACAGAGCGCGAGAGUAUAGCAACAGCAACCGUAGUAGUAGUAGCAGCAGCAGCAGCAGCAGCAGCAGCACGUCUUCGUCUCAUCGGCGUUUGUGUUUCGGCUCGAAUGUAAAAAUAAAAGGAAGAGAAACGAACCGCGGCGUCUCAAGGCUAACGCCUCGCGUAUUUGCUUCCUCCAUCUCUCUCUCGCUCUCUCGCUUGCUCGCUCUAUUCGGUAUCACUGUUCUUUUAUCCGGUCUCGUGCCACCAUUCUCGGUACCACUCGAGUGUAUACGAAUUGAUACGAAUAUUUCUCGUACACCCUAUAUAAAUAUAUAUAUAUGUAUGUAUGUAUGUAUAGUAUAGUAUCUUCUACUUCUUCAAGAAGUUGAAAGUUUUAUGUGGUGUAAAAGGUAUAUGUAUCUCAUACUUAACCUCGGCCUCUUUAUGAGGCAUUUUUUUUAUAUCGUUGCAUUAUAUUAGACGGGUGUUAUCGGUAAAAAAAGGAAAACUGUAAAAAGAAGAUAUAUAUAUAUAUAUAUAUAUAUAUAUAUAUAUAUAUAUAAACGAAGCUUGUAAUCUCUUACGUGAUUUCUUUUUCUUCUUUUUUUCUCUUUUUUUUUUCCUUUUUUGGAGGUUAUAUCUUUUUUCCUCUCUGGCCGUUCUGUUCUGUGUUCCUGUUCUAUUCUGUUCCUGUUCUCUGUAUGUAUACAUUCUUUUCCUUUUUUUUUUUUUUAUCGAAAGCGAGAUAACCACAUCGAAAUGAGAUAAAAUUUGGCCCAGUUUUCGACAGACAAUGAAUGAAAUACGGAGAGAGAUAUUAUUGUUCAAGGAAGAACAUGAAUAUUGUGUUGCUCGGUCGAUUCCGAUAGUAGUUUGCUGUUGCUGCUGCUGUUACUGUUGCUGUACAGAAUUUUCGUUCGACUUAUUGAAAAUAGAAAAAAGAAAAGAAAAGGAAAAGAGAAAAAGAGUGUGGAGUAAAAGAAGACAAACGGAUGGAUGGACAGAUAGAUUGAUAGAUUUAUGUGUAGAUCGACAAAGAAAAAAAAAAAAGGAAAAAUAGAGAGAGAAGGUGCUGGUGAUCUCUCUCUUUCUCUCUCUCUCUUUUACCUUUCAGAGCUGUUUCUCGAGACGAGAAGAAUUUCACGGUGCAAAUCGCGAAGCAGGACGAACGAUGCGGUUGAAAGAGGGAGAGAGAAGAGAAGAGGAGAGGAGAGGAGAGGAGAGGAGUGAAGUGGAGUAGAGUGGAGUUGAACGGAGAGGAGUGGAGAGAAGACGGUGGAGAAGGAAAGAGAAAGAUGGGAGGUAGAGAAGGGAGGGAGGGAGGGGUGGUUUGAGACGCGGCUUUUCUCGACGUUGGGUAUAAAUAUAGUCGGUCGAUGGUGGUGGUUCGUCUCCCUCGCUAACGUUUCCUCGAUGUAUUGCCACGGAAAUUGGCUCUCUGUGGGAGCGAGAAAGAGAGUGAAAGAAAGAAAGAAAGAAAGAGAGAGAGAGAGAGAGAGAGAGAAAGGAGAAACUGAGAGUAAGUGUGAGAGAAAGAGAGAAAGAAGAUAAGGAGGUUCGUAUCGCGGUGAUACACGAGCCACGAAACUCGUUCUUUUGAAUUAGGAAAACGCGUGAUUAUUUUUCUCUCUUUUACGGAAUAAGAGAGAGAGAGAAACAGAAUGAAAAAUACGUUGGAAAUGAGAAAAAGACUGUGAAGGAAAUAACAACAAGGAAAAAAAAGGAUCGCGUGAGUUAUUCGUGCGCGAGUCCUCUCUCUCUCUCUUUCUUUUUCUCUCUUUCAAUGGUUUUACCUUUUCGUUGCAAAGCAAAAGAGAGUAUAUACGGAUGUGUUGGUAAGGGUAGAAAAGGUAGAGAAAGAACGAUGGUGGUGGUAGGGUUGGUAGGGCUAGUAGGGCUGGUAGGGUUGCUGGCAGCUUCUUGGCGGUUUCCGAGAAGGAGAUAAGCCGGUUACCGCCCCCGACGAACGUUUACGUCGGAAACAUCGUUAGAAGACGCGACGACGACCACGUUCUCUCUCUCUCUCUCUCUCUCUCUCUCUCUUUCUCUCUCUGUCUCUCUCGAUGAGAGUCAACUUUUUCUGGUUUUUUCUUUUCUUUUCUUUUCUUCUUCUUAAUCUUCUUUUUUUGCUAUUAUUUAUUUAUUCUGUUCCUUUCUUUCUUUCUUUCUUUUUUUUUAUUUCCCCGAAGAACGCUUCGCACCUUUCUCGUCUCCUCAUUUCCUUUUUCCAAUACUCUUACUUUACGUAGCUCGUGCAAUAAUGAGAUCGAAUUAUUCAUCCGUAUAUACGCCUUGUUUACGCUCGAAUAUAUCUUCGAAAUAAUUAAGUAGACCGUUUCUAAAUAACUAUUACAAGAUUUAUUAUUAUUUAACAUAUUUUGCAGAAAGGAAGAGAGAGAGAGAGAAAGAAGGAGGGAGAGAGAGGUUAGAAAAAAGUUGGAAAUUUUGCGGAUUUUUUCUAACCGCGUUACUCGGUCGGUAACAAUCGGCUACGCACUUACCGAUAGGUACGAAAUCGUCGGUCAUAAAUCGUAAUGGUUACUGAUACCCAUCUUUUUUAUUUUAUUACUAUUACUACCACUACUACCAUCAUCAUCAUCAUCAUCAUUAUCAGGUUUUUUAGAUUGUUAAAUUUCAUACAUUUUGGAAUUGAAUUCUAUAUAUAUACACGCACGCUAUAUACUCGCAUAUACGUACGCCCAAACUUUUCGUUGUUCUCUCUCAUCUCGAAUUCGAUAUGACCAGAUAGAUAGAUAGGGAAAGAGAGGAAGAGAGAUGCGUUUGACGAUUUCGUGCGUGUUUAUCGGCCGAUACGAGGUUUGGUUUGACUCGUCUACAACGAGUUUUCUCUCUACGCUGUGCCGUGUAAGGGAGGAAGGGCUAUCUCUUCGUAAAAAGCGAUGUUCUCUUGUCCGAAAGACCGUGUUAGGGAGAGAAAGAGAAAAAAUGAUACUAUACCACUCUUUGAGCUUUUCGAAUGAGCACUGAACUGUUUCGAAUAAUCGUUUGUACCGAUAUAUCCUAUCGUUCAACGACUAACGGUUGUAAUAUUCCCUUUGAAAUCGGUUUUCCUGAUCUUUUAUCAGGUGAUUCGUAACUUUCUCUCUUCCACCUCGAAGCUCCCUCUUCUUCUCUCCCUCUCUCUCUUUCUCUCUUCGUCGAUCAACACGAUUUACAAUGUCUCGAAAAACCGAUCGCGUUUUGUUCUGUAAAAUCGAACGGAUUUUCUUCCUUUCUUUCUUUUUUCUUCUUUCGAAAUCUAUUGAAAACGUCGUUUAAAAACGUUCGGUGUAUCGAACUUGUAUCGAGCGAUUCGAAAGUUUUCGAAGCUUUGUUCCCAAGUUGGACCAUCUAAAAAAAGAGAGAGAGAAAGAGAGAAAUAUUGGCCCGAAAAUAUUCUUGAAAAUUAAGAGCAAUCGAUUUUCGAUAUCACCUAGGAACUUUUGCACAUCCAACGUUACUUUCCAUUCCCUUAUUCUGUAUUAAGAAUGAGAUUUUUCGCGAACGUACGCGUACGUACCAAGUUCGCCAUUUUGAAAGAUUUCGUACGGUUAUAAAAAUAAGGUCGGUCGAUUUCAGUAUUUGCAGAAAUAGACGGACAAACAGAGAGAAAGUACGGAUCAUCGUUCUACUAGUGUACUCAUUAUAGAUUUUCGACAAGAGAUGUUUCACGAACGAAUGACGUGACGUUUCGAAUCGUUUUUAUCACUUUAAACCAGCGACAACGUAGCUUGUGCACUAAUGGUGAUAGUGGUGGUGGUGGUGGUAGAAGUAAUGAUGAUGAUAAUGAUGAUAAUGAUGAUGAUGAUGGUGCUGGUGAUGGUGUCUUUUACGAUAAGAUUCACGCUGAAUAAUAAUACCAUUUAAUUGAUCUUUGUCUUUGAUAUUCUCACAAACAACGAUACUCUCUUUGAUGCGUCUAUUAUUGUCAAUAAUAUUAUUACUAGUAUUGUUACUACUAGACUAUUGUUACUAAACAAUUAUUAGUAGUGUUAUUAUUACUACUACUGCUAGUACUAAUAUACUAGUACUACUACUAUUGCUGUUGCUGUGCUGUUGCUGCUGCUGCUGCUGCUGCUGCUGCUGCUGCUGCUGUCUAGGCCACAUUAAAUUUUCGUGAGAUUCGUAUAAGUUUCUUCUCUCUUUCUCUCUCUCAAACACACAUACAUAUUCGACGUGUGUGUGUGUGUAUCUCAGGGAUGUAAAAUUCGGGCACCUGCACCCGUUCGUCGUUCUAUUUUCGUACGCUUGACCCAUGGCGACCUGACUACAUCGUUCUCAAGAGAGAGAGAGAAAGAUAGAGUAAACGAGAAAAUAAAAGUUAAUAAAAAAAAUAUAUACAUAUUAUAAAAUAACAAUAUUAUAAAAACUGUUUUACCGAUAGUGUUUUGAAAAAAAUGUUAUCGAUAAAGACGAGAGAGAGAGAGAGAGAGAGAGAGAGAGAGAGAGAGAGAGAGAGAGAGAGAGAGAGAGAACGUUACGUAGGUUAUGUACAUUGUUUGAUUGUAUAUUUGAGGGAGAAUUUCCUGAAAUUCGAAUACACGUUACGCAUGCACGUAACCUACGUUCGUUUAUUUACUGUUAUCGGCUACGCGUCUUAUCUGUAUAUAGGAAAGACAUUGACAAUAUUUACAAAGUAACCGAUAAUACGAUAGAUGUCUCCUCUCUCUCUCUCUUUCUUACUCACUCACUCACUCACUCGUCACUCACUCACACACGCUCAGCUGGUACCUUAUGCUUUGAACGUGAGUUACGGUAAUAUAUCAUUGAGAGAUAUAGAGACAGAAUGAGAAAGAGAGAAUCACUUUGUCCCUCUUGAAAUUAUCCUUCGAACGGGCAAAAUUUGUAAUAACAAGAUAAAAUGACAAGAAAUUAAAGAUCGUACUCUACAAAAAGAAAACAAAAAUAAUAAUAACUAAAUCCAUCAGAUAGAUAGUUAUUCGAUAUUUCAUUCGAUUUCGUCGUUCUUUUCUUUUUUCUUUUUUACAGGUUCCAGCAGCAGGAUGAGGAAGGAAUAGUUGGAUUCGUCAUAAUCGUCGUCGAUGUGGAGAGAGAGAGAAACGUACACGCACACAUACGCAGCUUCGGGUUCUUUCCGGUUUUUUACGUGUUGCGGUUCGUUUGGGAAAUAAAACGCGUGCCCAAAGCCCCUUAUCAUUCUCCUGUCCGGUGUACAAUCGUUAAACGACUGGACGGAGAACUGAUAAGGGCCCGAGGGUCACAGAAUCAUCGUGAACAGAGAAAUUCGAAGAGGACUCCUGCUUUACUCUCUUUCUCUCUCUCUCUCUCUCUCUCUCUCUCUCUCCCUCCCCUUCUCUUUGUAAAAUGGCGCCAUGCGCGUGCUUCUUCGUAUCUUCCUCCUCUUCGUCGCGAUUGGACGAAGAAAGACUAGUUAAUACGCACAGGAGGACACGUACAACACCAUGAAGAAGGACGAAGUUAGAUCUUGUUAACAAGGAACAAGAGAGAGAGAGAGAGAGAUGUAUAUUUAUAUUCUCUUUCUCUCUUUGUUUUUCUCUGUCUGUCUGUCUGUUAUAUUUUUCUGUACGCGUUAAUCUCUUAAUUUUUUAUUUUAUUUUAUUUUUCAUUUCAUUCUGUUCACUGUCUAUCAUUCAGCUGAAACAACUUAACAAUGAGAAGAAUAAAGUAUUAUUCUCUUUGUCCCUCUAAACG